rnacentral:rRNA from 1 species
UCGCCUACAUGAAGCUGGAAUUGCUAGUAAUCACAGGUCAGCAUACUGUGGUGAAUACGUUCCCGGGCCUUGUACACACCGCCCGUCACACCAUGAGAGUUGAGAAUACCCGAAGCCCAUGUCAAAGUGGUCGAAGGUAGGCUUGAUGAUUGGGGUGAAGUCGUAACAAGGUAUC